GACCGGGUAGCUCAGUUGGUAGAGCAACGGACUUUUAAUCCGUAGGUCGCGGGUUCGAUUCCCGCCCCGGUCA
rnacentral:tRNA from 1 species